UAGCCGACCUGAGAGGGUGACCGGCCACACUGGGACUGAGACACGGCCCAGACUCCUACGGGAGGCAGCAGUGGGGAAUAUUGCACAAUGGGCGAAAGCCUGAUGCAGCGACGCCGCGUGAGGGAUGACGGCCUUCGGGUUGUAAACCUCUUUCAGCAGGGACGAAGCGCAAGUGACGGUACCUGCAGAAGAAGCACCGGCUAACUACGUGCCAGCAGCCGCGGUAAUACGUAGGGUGCAAGCGUUGUCCGGAAUUACUGGGCGUAAAGAGUUCGUAGGCGGUUUGUCGCGUCGUUUGUGAAAACCAGCAGCUCAACUGCUGGCUUGCAGGCGAUACGGGCAGACUUGAGUACUGCAGGGGAGACUG
rnacentral:rRNA from 1 species